UAGGGAAUCUUCCACAAUGGACGAAAGUCUGAUGGAGCAACGCCGCGUGAGUGAAGAAGGGUUUCGGCUCGUAAAACUCUGUUGUUAAAGAAGAACAUAUCUGAGAGUAACUGUUCAUACGUUGACGGUAUUUAACCAGAAAGUCACGGCUAACUACGUGCCAA
rnacentral:rRNA from 1 species